ACUAGGGGUAGAACAUAUACACAUUGUAUAUCAUAUCUAAAUAUAUAUAUAUAUAUACAUAGCCGAGUUGAGUCCUGGUAUAUAGUUGAAAGCGUAACCGCUACCAGUUGUGUGGGUGACUUUAGGGUGUAAUUGCAGCAGUGGGCGGAUCAGAGUAAGCUUCGUGCUGAUGGGCGUGGCUCGCUGAUUACACCACCGCGAUACUGAUAUCUUCGCUUUUAUACCGCUUUUGUCCUAUACUAAUAUACCGACUAGGAAGCUCUGUCUCCUUUAUCAUCCCAAGUUCAAAUUUUCUCCCUCGCUCUAUUCACUUGACUUGCUUCUUGCUUCUUGCCUCUUACCUCUUUAUCACAACACCCUACUUCCUAUUAUUCGCGAAAAAAGGCUUUCUUUUUUAUCGCGCAUUACUUCCCACUUUUAUCCACCGAUACAUAUUUAAAAUACUUGUUAAAUGUCCCGUCAAUUACUCAAAUCGAUAUUUCUUCUUUUUAUUUUUUUUUUCUUCAGGAAGCAAUAUCAAGCAAAACAAAUUUACCACACCUUUUUGGAGUACUUGGUGAAGGUUGAAGAGAACAAGCACAAGUGGGUAAAAGUCUAGACAAGACACGCGAUGUGUUGGAACCACGUAUAAUACAAGUACUACACGGGGGUGUAGAAUUCAAGUUGUGACUUUAGUUAAUAUAACGCUUUAGCUUUCUUUAGCUUUCUUUACUUAGUACGGCGUUAGUUUUUAUUUUUGUUUUGUAGUGUAAGCGAAAACGAUAAAUGGUAAAUGGACAAAUGCGUGGAUAGGAGUGUGCGCGGCUGCCUCAGGUUAUCACACGCUACACUAUUGGUCCACGCCCCGCUGACUGGACUGUUUUUUAUUGCCGGUCUGCGCGAUUUUCGAGGGAGACUGAAAGAAUAAUUGUACGUCCAAUCGCUGAGGGAAUUCCCACAUGACAGAUUUUACUGUUUUCAACUCCGAUUACCUUACGGUUGAUUUGAUAUACCAGAAUAAUAAAAUGAAUGAUCAAUUUGAGUUGAUGAUAAAAAGCUGUCAAAUUUUAAUUUACACUUGUUACACUGAAGUGAAGUGUCAAAAGAUUACAAACUAUAGUAUGGAUCGCAUGAUGAGUCUUUGGUGUCGCCGUCACCGCCGCAAAGAGACACGUUGUCUGCAUACGAAAAUGCUACCAGUAGCCACACGCAUCUGUAUCUGUCUGUCAUUGUCGCAGUAUCUACUUAUGUACAUUUAACAUUUUUAAACUUAAAACUUUAUUUCCCAUUCCCAUCCUCGGAUGUAUUACUUAUUCUGUCGGCCAGACAACUGUGUCGCGUCUUGAUGUUCUGAUGUUAACACAUGACACCGUUGUAGCUUCCAAAUUCCACUGGCUAGUCAUCAGAUAUUCAUGU